CAAAGGCGAAGUUUGGAUGCAUCCUUCUGGUUCUGAAGUGGGAGACGAGAAUGGAAAAGAGUCCCUGCCCGGAAGAUAAGGGCCCCGGAACGCAAGGCGUUAAUAUUCUGGCGCCGCACAAGCACCUGACUCCGCUAGCACAGUCUGCCCUUCAACACAAAAUCUGCCGAGCCUGCUCAUCGCACACGGACAAGAAAUUUCCCGGCAACCUGCGAUUGCUAAUUUACCGAGGAUGGGCAGCAGGCUGUUGAAAGGAACGCCAGUUUUCCCGGGAUUCUCUUCCCGAACACAAAUCCAAGUGUUUAAUGCAAGAUUCACACUUCACUCAGCAUUAAGAACACAAGAAGGCAGCUUCAAAGGCUCUGUAUGGAGUUUUGUUUCUCCCCUUUGUCACUUUUUGCUGCCACUUUACUAACUUUCCAAAUCUUAGUAGUUGCUCUCCCAUUCCUUAUUUAAACAUUAAUGAAACAUGAGUAACCUACACCAUUUCAUAAACCGCCUUCAUUGUUAGAAGCAGAUUCCAGAGGGAAGUGAAAUUGAACAAACCAUAAAUUUGCUCCAGCCACUCUCCAUUCCAUAUUUUUGGAGCAUCUAAUAUAAGGCCCAGUGCUACCUGGGGAAACAGUAGUGGAAACAAGAUAACCAGAGUUCCUGCCCUCAUAGAGCUUAUCUUCUAACCAUUCCAAGAUGGAAGGAAGGCAGCAAACAAAUCCAUGGAUUGUGAUAGGCUUGUUACGAAGAAAAACCACAAGAUGCUGUGAGAAAGUAUGCAUGGCACAGGGACCUGACCUUUGGCUGGGGGAUGAAGAAGGCCUCCCCGCAGAAGUGGCAUUAAAGCUGAGAUCUAUGAGUUGAGUGAAACUCGAUGAAGGUGGGCAUGGAGGGACAGGAGGGGGAACAGAGAGAAGCAUUCCAAGCAGAGGGAACAAAAUAUGCAAAGGCCUGAAGGUGGAAAGAACACAAUGCUUCUGAGGUGAGGAAAGAAGGCAGGUUAUAAGAGGGAAAGUGUCCCAAGACAAGCUGGGAAGGUGGCAUAGCCAGAUGCUUCAGGACACUGUAGACGACAGUUUGGAUUCAAAUCUCACCCUAAGAGCAAUAGGAACACACUGAAAGGUUAAAGUUUGUCCACUGAACUCAAAUUCCCUUGGCUACCUGUGAUUGAUAUAUCAAGAAGAAAACAGUAUGAAAAAGUGCUCUGAUAAAGGAAAACAUAUUUAGAAUAGAAAGCAUAGUGUCAUAGGAGAAAGGGUGCUAAACCAUGAAUGAAAACUAAGGGGUUCUACUCAUAGUACUAUUAUCCUGGGUAGGCCAUUUAAUCUCAAAAUAUCUCCACUUCCUCAUCUAUCAAAUAAAAGUACUAAAAAAUUCAAAACUCACAUAUUCAUUGUAAAAAGCAAAUGAGAUACUACAUUUGACAUUUCAAAAUGCUUUGAGGGGCUUCCCUGGUGGCGCAGUGGUUAAGAAUCCACCUGCCAAUGCAGGAUACACGGGUUUGAGCCCUGGUCCGGGAAGAUCCCACAUGCCGCGGAGCAACUAAGCCCGUGAGCCACAACUACUGAAGCCUGCGCGCCUAGAGCCCAUGCUCUGCAACGAGAAGCCUCCGUAAUGAGAAGCCCCUGCAAUGAGAAGCCCGCACACCGCAACAAAGAGUAGCCCCCGUUCCUACUCGCUGCAACUAUAGAAAGCCUGCGCACAGCAACGAAGA